AAAGUUACCACAGGGAUA
rnacentral:ncRNA from 2 species